ensembl:lncRNA TEX14BP testis expressed 14B, pseudogene
AGGCGCUGCGGGAGGCCACUGGUGCUCAAGCACCUCGGAUUCCCGCUCAUACAGCCGGCCGGAUCAUGUGGCAGUCAGGUGGCGACCACUAUCUAGCCCAACGUUGCUGGAGUUGUUGCAGCUCUGCCGGGCCCACAUAUCAGCGUUCGUGCAUGACGGUGAGUUGCCACCCAUGGCAUCUCUGGACCAGUUGCAGGCCAGAUUUGGGAACAGCCCGCCUGGCUCCCUGUCCUCCCUGAGGCUGAUGCAGGCAGACAGCCUCCUGUGGAUGGGUCACAAAAUGACUGUGCAGCAGCCGAAGGCCCCUGGAACCCAGACAGAUGUGCUACUGGCUGACCUUCAGCACUGCAGGCAGCAGAAGGGCUACCCCUGGGGAGGCCCAGGCCCAGGGCUUCCCCCGCCCCCUGAACUACACCCAUGGCUGCCACUUCAGCUGAUCUGCGGUGACAUGCCCACCACCACCUCAGACCUCUACAGCUUCUGCAUCCUGAUCCAGGAGGUCUUCACUGAGAAACUGUACAUCAAGUGGCUCACAGAGCCAAGACCACACCCAGGCCUGUGGCCCCUGUGAUGUCCCCAGGCCCCAUCCCAUGCCAGGCACCCGGUACUGAGCUGACUAGAGGAGGUCUCUUCUCCAGCCUGCAGAAGAUGGACCUGCUGGAGGAGAUCAUAGCAGAGCUACAAAAAGGAUGUCAGCUUGGAGAAAAGCCCAGCCUGAGCCCCACUCCUGACCUAGACUCCCAGGGUGCCCAUGGUUCCCCUCUCUGCAGAUACCACCUCUCAGAGGCUCCCAGGAGUAACUCCUGCCUUGGUGCCUCCCCAAAAGGAAAUAGAAUGAUAAAGUGC